GAUACGAGGGCAGAGUGCCGAUGAGGAGCGCCCGCCUGUUCUACGACAUCAGCGAGCGAGCGAGUCUUACUUCCUGCUCAACUCCACCCUGCACUUCUCCUACACGCACCUGGUGUGCCGGACAUCACAGGGCAACGCUGAUGUGGCUUGGGACGCUCAUCUCAACGUACAGAGACUUCAGGUACGAGGCUCGGGGCCGACUGAGCCAACGACAGGCCGAGCACGUUGCACGUCACGAGAGACAAACGAUCCCUUCUUCUUCUUCUUCUUCUUUGGGAUUUUACGGCAGCCGGCAUCCAAUAAGUUGCAUUGCUGCCAUCUAUGGGCCUAUCCCACUAUUACUUUACACUCUGUCAUACACUCCAGCAUCUCUUAAAAAUUUAAAAAGACAGUUCUUUCCCCACUCGCUUACUCCUAGAAUAUUUUCCAGAGUUAGAUCUUCCACGCCAAUUUCUCUCAGUCCUGAGAAUAGCUCCUGCCUUUGCCGAUCAUACUUCCUACACAACAUCAACACAUGCUCCACUGUCUCAGGUUCCAUACAUGAGCACAGGCCACUCUGAUGCUUUCCAAUAAUAUAUAAAGUGCUGUUCAAUCCUGUGUGACCAAUUCUCAUUCUAGCCAUAAUAACCUGCUCUUUACGACUGCUCCCCCCUCUGCUUUUAUUGAUAUUAACCGUAGCAUGUACCCUGAAUAGAUGCCUCCCUUUGGCUUCCUGCUCCCAUACUUGCUGCCACUUUAGCAUUGUUUCCUGCCACACUACACUUUUACCUUCUGCCUUAGAUAGAUUUAAAUUUACCUCUAUAGCCUCUUUUUGAGCAGCCCUUUUCGCCAAUUUAUCAGCCUUUUCGUUAUAUGUAAUGCCUACAUGAGCUGGAACCCACAUAAACGAAAUUUCUACCCCUCUCCUUUUCGCAUCUCUAAUUGCUAUUAAAAUCUCAUAUACAAGGUCUUGCCGCCUCUUUGACGACCCUUUCCCGAUACUACUGAUAGCUGACACAGAGUCACUACAUAUCAAUACUUUUUGGUUCUGAAUCUGCUCAGUCCAUUGCACUGCCAUCAAGAUUGCAUAUAAUUCCACUGUGAAUACACUUAAAAAAUUUGACGUUCUCUUAAAAUCUUGGACCUUCCACCUCUGAAUAAUAAAAGCUGCUCCUGUGGCACCGGUUGUUUGAUCUUUCGAGCCAUCUGUAAAAAUGCUAAUAUGUUCCUGAUAUCUCUCCAUUAUCUGACAUUGGACUGCAUAUACUAAAUUUGCCUCAGGAUUAUCCGUCUUAAUUUUAAGUAUCUCUAAAUCGGUUUUUGGGGCCUCUAAUAGCCAUAUAGGAACUGCUGGCCACAUUACCCCUGGGCAAAAGUUCUUAUCUUUUAUAGCCAUUUCCUGUGCCACUGCCUCCCCUGUCCAUCCAAAACUUGACAGUCUUGCCAUCUCUCUUUCCCAGCUUGUCUGAAUUGUACUGUUCACUGGGUGAUCCCCCUUUUGACCCAUCAGAUUUACCCAAUAAUUCGCCUGAAGCUGCUUUCUUCGCAGAUCUAAUGGCAUUUCUCCUGCUUCUACCUGCAAUGAACAUACUGGAGAAGUUCGCACGGCUCCUGUACAUAUUCUCAAUGCCUUAGCUUGGAUUACAUCUAAUCUGGCUAGCACUGACUUGGCUGCAGAUCCAUACACCAAGCACCCAUAUUCAAUUCUUGCUCUAAUUAAAUAUAUAUAUAUUUGCUUCAAGGAGACUACGUCUGCUCCCCACUCUGUUCCAGCCAGGCAUCUCAUUACAUUCAUUACCUUUUUACAUUUGUCUACUAUACUUGCCACAUGGUUCCUCCACGUAAGUCUAGGAUCAAAUACCACACCAAGAAAUUUAAAGCCUUGCACCCUUUCCAAAUUCUUACCAUACAACUUCAAGGUUAUAUUUUCGUAUAUUUUCCUCUUAGUAAAACACAUAUAUUUAGUUUUCUCAAUUGAAAAUCUAAAACCCCAUUUCCUUCCCCAAUCCUCUACUGACGUCAGAGCUUCCUGCACCUUCUUCAGUGUGUAUUUCACAUUUUUCCCCCUUUUCCAUAAGCUACCAUCAUCUGCGAAUAAUGACUUUCCAAUUCCUGGCUGAACAUUAGAAAACACAUCAUUAAUCAUUAUAUUGAACAGCAAUGGACUCACCACACUACCUUGUGGCGUCCCAUUUUCUACGAAACACCUUCUAGAUAUUGCUCCUCCUAUUUUCACCUGAAUGCUUCUAUUAUAUAAGAAGUCCAUUACCCAGUUAAACAUAUUUCCCCCAAUUCCUAGUAUGUGCAUUUUGAUUAAGAGACCUUCUACCCAUAGCAUAUCAUAUGCUUUUUCCACAUCUAUAAAUACUGCCACAACAGUCUCUUUCUUUACCUGAGCUUUUCUUAUUUCAUCCUCAAGACAUAUGAUUGAGUCAAUCGUACUUCUUCCUUUUCUAAAUCCACUCUGACAGCUAGCCAUCAGCCCCCUUUCUUCCAUAAAGUGCAUAAGCCUUCCAUUCACCAAUCUUUCCAUUAAUUUACCCAAGUGAGACGUUAAAGCUAUUGGUCUAUAACUUGCUGGAUUACUAGCAUCUUUCCCCGGUUUUCUUAUUGGUAAAAUAACUGCCUCUUUCCAUCCAGUAGGAAUCUUUCCCUCCUCCCACACUUUAUUAAAUAGAUUUAGAACCUUCUCUAUCCCUUUAUUACUUAAGUGCCUUACCAUGCUAUAGCAUAUUUCAUCUUGGCCAGGAGCUGAAUUCUUGCAUUUAUCUAAUGCAUUUCUUAACUCUCUCAUUGUAAAUGGAACAUUAUAUUUAUCAUCUAACUUCCCUUUCUUUUGGAUAUUCUCAGCAUAUACCCUCCUUGUUUCUUCCCUACCCAUUCUUUCUUCUUCUGAUAGAUUACUGGAACUAUGCACCUUACUCAAAGUAUUCGCCAUCAUUUCUGCUUUCUCUAAGUUCGACAUAGCCAGCUGCUCCCCAUCUGAAAGAAUUGGAUAAUCCCACUCUCUCUUAUUACCUUCCAUUUUCCUGAUCAUUCCCCACACAUCCUUUAUAUUAGUAUUGCUUCCGAUGUUACUACAAUAUCCCCUCCAGUAUGCUCUUUUCUUUUGCCUUAUUGUCCUUCUCACUUCUGCCUGUGCUUGUUUAUACUCUAUCAUAUGUUGAAAGUUAUGAGUUCUUUUUAACCUUCUAAAUGCUCUGUUUCUCUCCUUAACUACCUCCUUACAUUCACUACACCACCAUGGAACCGCUUUCCUUACAAGUUUACCUGAGCUUUUUGGUAUUGUAGCACUUGCAGCCAUAUAAAUACUCUGCCUCACCUCGAUUUCGUUCCUUUCAACAUCCAUUGUUUCCUGAUCUGACCUAAAAUAUGAAUCACUUAUUUCUAUAAAUCUCUCCCAGUCUGCCUUAUUGAACAUCCACCUUCCAUACCGAACUUCUGUGCUCCCCCUUACCUCAACAUUCAGUUUACAUAUGACUGGGUAGUGGUCACUUCCAAAAGUGCCGUCUUUAUACACUUCCCACUCACAUUUUAAAGCCAGUCUGCUAGACACAAGUGUAAGGUCUAAUACUGACUCCCUGCCCGAUCUAACAUCUAUCCUAGUCUUUCUACCAUCAUUCAUACACACUAACUUCCUAUCAUUCAUUAUCUCCUCAAUCACCUGUCCGUUAUUAUCUGUCUUAUCCCCCCCCCACAAUGUGUUGUGAGCAUUAAAAUCUCCACACCAUACAACAUUAUCCCUAUCCUGGCCUUCUAUUUCCUCCAUUUCUUUUACUUCUAGCUGUUUACAAGGAUUAUAAUAAUUUAUUAUUACUAUUCUCUUUCUAUCUGCCCAUACUUCCACUACCACAUAUUCUUGUUCCUUCCCUGUACCCAACACCCUAUAAGGUACACCCUUCCUUAUAAAGGUGGCACACCCCCCACCGCUACUUUGCUCCCUGUCUCGUCUAAUGAUAACGUAGUUAUUUAAAACAAAGUCAAAUCUGGGUUUUAGCCAUGUUUCCUGAAUACACAUUAUAUCGGGCUUUUCACUUUUAUUGUCUAUGUAUUGUUUAAAAUCUUGUCCAUUUGCUAAUAAGCUCCUUGCAUUCCAAUGUAGAAUGAACAUAAUAGAUAUGAUCACCCUUUACCUAUUUCUUGGCUUGAAUGAACGGCAAGACAAUCCCUUAUUUCUUCCCAUUUUAGGUCUAGCAUGCCCAAAUGCUGCAUUGCUGCCUUUGCAAUGAUUUGAAUCCUUUCUGUUUUGGAUUUGGCUUCAGCUGUUGCAUUAAUUACCCCUGCAAUAAAGAUAACCAAGUCUCUCUUACUAUCCCUCCUCACCUUCCUUUCCUCAUCCCUAACACGUUCCUGCCUCUGAGUCCAUGCAUUCACUGUUCCUAUUUCCUCUCUAACACUUUCUUCAUUACUUCUCUUGGCUUGCUCCACUCUUUUAACUGCUUCUGUAUAAGGAACCCUAUCCUUCCUUUUCACAUUCUGAAUCUCAGUCUCCUUUCUCAUUGCUUCACAGCCCCAGAAGGCCGCACUGUGCUCCCCUCCACAAUUACAGCAUUUAGGUAUUACCCCCUCACCGCAUUCUCCAUAGUCAUGCUCCCCACCACAUUUAGCACACCUUUUUUUCCCCUUACACAUUUUAGCUACAUGGCCAAAUUUUUGGCACUUGUAGCAUCUCAUUGGCUUAUGCAUGAACUCUCUUACCCUGUAUCUCAUAAAUCCAAAGUAAAGUUCUGUGGGCAAUUCUUUUGAGUUAAACUGUAUCAGAACUGACUCGGUUUCUUUCUUCUCAACCCCCUUGGUUAGACGUUUUGCACUCUGAACAGAUUCACAUCUUUCUUUUAAAUGCUUAACCAGCUCCUUUACCUCAACUGCUAAAGGAAUCCCAUAGAUCACUCCUUCCCUACCUUGCUCACCCACUUUCACCGCCUUUACUACCACUACUUUCCCCACAGCUUGCAUCUUUAACGCUCUUCCAGCCUGCUCUUCAGAGUUGCAUCCAAUUAAUAAAUUUCCAUCAUUAAGAAUUCUAGCAUACUUGACCUCGCCAACCUGAUUCUUAAUUAUUUUUGUCAGUUUUAGUGGAUCCAAACUCUUCACCCCUGGCUCUUCAAACCUAACAACAACAUUCCAUUUCUCCUCACUUUCUUUCAUCCCUCUAGUCCGCUUUGCUUUAUUUAUUCUCCUAAUCUGCCAGCUUCCAUCAUCUUGAUCCAAACCAUCCAUACUGCAACUGCUAUCCUCCUGCAUGUUUGCCAUGAUAGAAAACUCUGCAGGUGUAUCGUGUACCGGACCUAUACAGGCCGUCGGCCGAUACUCCCGCAAAAUUCCUCCCUCACUACCUCUAUCCUAAGUCUAACAAUUCCUAACGAUGCUUCUUUUUAAAUUUCCUCCCUUAUUGUUUUUCCAACAAAUUACGGCGCAGCUCGAUGCUCAACCCACGCCUGAGUUCCACGCUUCCUCGACAAACGAUCCCUCCUUUGCCCUUCUGCUUUCAAUGGAGAUUUUGAAGGAGGGGAGUUCAUAUUCACAGAAAUGGAUGCCAAAACCGUCACGGCAUCGGUGAAGCCCUUAUGCGGCCGGAUGGUGGGUUUCUCAUCCGGGGGGGAGAAUCCACACGGCGUGAAGGCCGUCACCAGCGGGCAGCGGUGUGCCGUCGCUCUGUGGUUCACCCUCGACCCGCUCUUCAGAGAACUGGAGAGACUGCAGGCGGACGAGGUGAUCCAGGCGCUGGACAGGGAGUCCACGUGGGGCGGAGGCCUCAACAUCAACCCCAAAGAUGAACUGUAGAAGCUGAAGCAAAACGCCUUCAGUCCAAUACGCUUCAAUCUAAUCCUUCUAUAUUUUAACUAUUUAUUGAACCGACCUUGUACUUUGUUACGUGAUACCUCUGGUUUUAUCGAUUUAUAGAUAGACAGACGGACAAAUACAUAUCUAGAUGCUGCCAUGGAUUCCGUGUAGGAUUCCAUGUAAUAUUUUACUACGCUUUGUAGGAGCCAGUUUUAAUUGACAUUGAGUGGAAGAUACCAAAUUGAGCCAGCAGGUGUCACCAUGGUGCACUUGCUUUAUUAGGUGGGAACUUUGAGCCAGGUGGCAGGUGUUGCGAGACGGAGGAGCACACAGUUUUCUCUGUCACAAUACGUGGUUGUAAGUGACAGCUAAAUGGACUCCACAUUGUGCUAAAUAAACCAAAUAUUCAAACACAGAAUCA